UAUGUCAAGAAUGAAGUCAGUGUGGCUGCUGUGUCACAUUUGUGUGAGUAGGUGGCAGAGAGAAGAGAGGCUGUGUCUACGCUCAGUGUUUUGACUGGUGGGCAUCUGAAUGAUUAGUAGUCUGACAUU
rnacentral:snoRNA from 1 species